GACAAUGAACUGAGACAUCUGCAGACAGAAGGUAGGAGACAUGCUGCUCAACUGUACAGAUGGGAUCAUAGAAAAGGCAGCAAAAAGCAUAGCCAGCCAGCCCUGUUUCUUCCCUCAGCUGCUGAUCUAGGUAACCAGAAUGCUAGGAAGCCAGUGAGAUGCAAGAGAUCCUGGCCCAUCCCUGAAAGGAAAAGUGCCUCCUCAGCCAGACCAACCAAACCUCACUGAGAGAGGCAGCUGCAGGCACCAGUGACAAGGCUCUGGCAGUAGCCUUCAGUUUCACACAAGUAAAAUUCAAAUGUGGCCAAGGUCUCAUGGUAGGCUGAAAUCUAUGAGGUAAUUAGGCCACAAGGGCUUCUCCAUCACAAACAGAGGUUCUGGUGGCCAGCCAUGGCUAUAGCUUGUCUGGCAUUGUGUACUCCUACGAAGUUGGUGGAAGGUUCUAAGACCCUGGAGGCAAGGCAGGGCAGAGCAGCUCUUCUUGAGGUACCAGAGGCUUUGUGAUCCUACAGCCCCCAGGUCAGCUUUUUGCCCUUAUGGGUUACUCAAGCCUCUAAGUAUUACACAGACCAUAACCACCAAAAGCAUAUGGACACAUGGGUAACAGCAGAAGGAUGAUCGAGGGCAGGACUCUUCAACCUGCCAUCCCCAAUGCCCUCUUCUGAGCUAUUUCUAUAAGGUUUGCCCUAUCCUGUAACUCUUUCAGGCUUCAGAGUCAAGACCAAGCAAUUAUGGUAUAAGGUCACAGAAAAGGAAGACAGAAGCCACUGACACAGCUACUUCAAGGAAGUGCCCCAAACAGGGCAGGGUCUCUCCAUCCCUAACAGUCUGUGACCCUGUUAUGUCUACCUAAGUUUUUUGAAUGGUCUUUGUUCAACGGCCACAGUCGGCUGGAUGAACCUCUUACCCAGAGGAUGCUCUGUGAACCUCCACACAAAGCACCACAUGAAAGGGCACAGCACUGUCCGCCUUAGAUUCAACACCACCCACGUGACCAGUGCUCAAGACGCAGGACUUCCAGAAAGAGGUGACAUUUUCUUGCUUCUGUUCAUUCUUGUGCUACAUUUACCGUCCUUCCUGAGCCGUCUGACCAGUUUCUAACCUAGAUUUAAGAGCCCUUCAUGAUAUUCUGAGCAUUGGUCUCCAACCCUAUCAUGGCCCACUUUUCACACAGCUCUUUACAGGUCUGUUAACUUGAACACACUACGAACCCUUUCAAUGAAUGAAGUUUAGAAUCUGGGGGCUGGUGAGAUGGCUUAGUGGACAAAGGACAUCACCAAGCUUCAUGGUCUGAGUCUGAUUCCAAGGACCUCCACACACGUCAUGGCACCCCUCUGUCAACUUUUAGUUUAAAUAAAUGUUUAGUGUCCUGAUGGGUGGUGACAGAAACUGAGAGGAUGGAGCAAGCAGCUACCAGGAGACAGCACAGAAAGACAACCAUAGUCUGAUCAGAGGACCUGAGACCUAAGAGUUCUGACCUUAAAGGUUUCUCUAAGACAACGAUCUCAGUCUUGUUUAUCUCAAGGGCUGUUGUAAUAGAUACCAGAGUGCUUACCAGUCAUAAAGGACAUACCAAUGUGUCAUCAUAAGCAACCACACUGUCAAAUGAUGCAAGUAAGGGAGCGCUUACUGCAGUAAGCCUAACACGGGCCAUAGCUCUCUGCUGUCUGAGACGCUAUAGGAGGCCCAUCGUGAAACAGCAAACAUGUUGGCAGAUGGCCUCCUCUCAGGUCAGGAAGAGACAGUUAUGGAAUUCUUGAGAGGUAAAGCAGUACUUUGGGCCAAAAGAUACAAGCUUCAGACAAGACAGACGCACAUACUUAAGCAAGGACUUGCUGUCCGCAUCUUCCAAGCCUUACCUCUUUUCUGAAUACUUCUUUGCUUUUCUUUGCCAGCUCACUGGAGGUGUCUGCUUCUGCUGUCUUGGGCUUUUUUGAUGUCUAGAAUGAGAAAACAAUAGUGCUGACAUGAGGUGUCAGUUUGGUGAUGCCCUACUGUUCCAGAACUCACAUUUCUUUCCCCUAGUAGGGCUACACCUAGUAGGACAAGGUCUGAAGGCUCCUCGGCUAACAGUUUCAGAAUCGACCACUGAGUCUGGCCUCCUUGUAAGCCUAAUCACUGUCUCGCUCCACGGUCAGCAUUCCAGAACAAAGUGCCCCGUCCUAAAGAUCCUUGGUGCUCACACCUUUCCUUCCAAAGAGGAGCUGCCUAGACUACAUACGACAAUCUCAACACAAGAAACAAGAGACCCUGUCUCAAAAAAGUUCCAAAUAAACAAAACCAAGGAGUUAUGUACGACUGUGUAGACAUGGCAUGAGUGCCGUGCAUGUGAACAGAUGAGUAGAUGCUAAGACCACCAAUACCUUUUUUCCGAGUUGAUGAUAAAUAAAUUCAGAAAUACACCUUUCUAGCAAUGCCAGAGGGGAGGAUACCAAAUUCCUCUACCCAGGCAAGACCAAGAGGUCAUGAGCUAUCAGCCCCAGCAUAUAAGCCAUAUGCACAUAACUAGAAUGCCCUUCCCAUGGAAAAAUGAUCAUUAACAUUGCUCUUGGAAUAUAAAUUUCCACGCUCUAGGAAUACCAGCUGGUGCUUACAGGGUUUCAAAAAAAAAAAAAAAAAGAGAAAA